rnacentral:rRNA from 1 species
UGCUUGCACUGAUUUCAACAAUGAAGCGAGUGGCGAACUGGUGAGUAACACGUGGGAAAUCUGCCCAGAAGCAGGGGAUAACACUUGGAAACAGGUGCUAAUACCGUAUAACAACAAAAUCCGCAUGGAUUUUGUUUGAAAGGUGGCUUCGGCUAUCACUUCUGGAUGAUCCCGCGGCGUAUUAGUUAGUUGGUGAGGUAAAGGCCCACCAAGACGAUGAUACGUAGCCGACCUGAGAGGGUAAUCGGCCACAUUGGGACUGAGACACGGCCCAAACUCCUACGGGAGGCAGCAGUAGGGAAUCUUCCACAAUGGACGAAAGUCUGAUGGAGCAAUGCCGCGUGAGUGAAGAAGGGUUUCGGCUCGUAAAACUCUGUUGUUAAAGAAGAACACCUUUGAGAGUAACUGUUCAAGGGUUGACGGUAUUUAACCAGAAAGCCACGGCUAACUACGUGCCAGCAGCCGCGGUAAUACGUAGGUGGCAAGCGUUGUCCGGAUUUAUUGGGCGUAAAGCGAGCGCAGGCGGUUUUUUAAGUCUGAUGUGAAAGCCUUCGGCUUAACCGGAGAAGUGCAUCGGAAACUGGGAGACUUGAGUGCAGAAGAGGACAGUGGAACUCCAUGUGUAGCGGUGGAAUGCGUAGAUAUAUGGAAGAACACCAGUGGC